rnacentral:rRNA from 1 species
CAGUCGCCGCGGUAAUACGAAGGGGGCUAGCGUUGUUCGGAAUUACUGGGCGUAAAGCGCACGUAGGCGGAUAUUUAAGUCAGGGGUGAAAUCCCAGAGCUCAACUCUGGAACUGCCUUUGAUACUGGGUAUCUUGAGUAUGGAAGAGGUGAGUGGAAUUCCGAGUGUAGAGGUGAAAUUCGUAGAUAUUCGGAGGAACACCAGUGGCGAAGGCGGCUCACUGGUCCAUUACUGACGCUGAGGUGCGAAAGCGUGGGGAGCAAACAGGAUUAGAGACCCCGGUAGUCCCUGUCUCUUAUAA